rnacentral:rRNA from 1 species
UACGGGGGGGCAAGCGUUGUUCGGAAUUACUGGGCGUAAAGGCUCGUAGGCGGCCAACUAAGUCGGACGUGAAAUCCCCAGGCUCAACCUGGGAACUGCGUCCGAUACUGGAUGGCUUGAAUCCGGGAGAGGGAUGCAGAAUUCCAGGUGUAGCGGUGAAAUGCGUAGAUAUCUGGAGGAAUACCGGUGGCGAAGGCGGCAUCCUGGACCGGCAUUGACGCUGAGGAGCGAAAGCUAGGGGAGCAAACGGG